rnacentral:rRNA from 1 species
UGCGUAGGUGGCGAGGUAAGUCGGAUGUGAAAGCUCGGAGCUCAACUCCGAAAUGGCAUUGGAAACUACCUUGCUCGAGGGUUGGAGGGGGGACUGGAAUACUUGGUGUAGCAGUGAAAUGCGUAGAUAUCAAGUGGAACACCAGUGGCGAAGGCGAGUCCCUGGACAACUCCUGACACUGAGGCACGAAAGCUAGGGGAGCAAACA